rnacentral:lncRNA from 1 species
CCACAGUCAACAAAACUAAUAAUAAUUCAAAGGCUAUGCCAAUAGACUGGAAUAUCAAAAGGAGCUGCCAAGCUGAAAAUACUAGAUGGAUGGAAUAUCUGCCUCUUGAAUAUGAGACUGGCUAAGUUCAGAGUACAUCAGAAGUCAACCACAGGGAUACAAACUGAAUGAGGACCUUCUCUAAAUCUCCACCAACUAGUAUGAUGUAUUUAUUUAACUGAUUCAAAUUUGUAAUAUUGGAUUAAGGAGCUCCUGGAUAUACAGGAAGAAGCUAGUAUUCUAAGGGCUCCAUUACCCAGACAAAGGAAGAAUAAAAGAGUUAUCCAAGACCAGUGACAAAAGUCAGGAAGACUGCUGAUGGCCCAGGAUGCAGAGAGUGAUCUUGACAAUUUCCAUAUCUAACUAAGCUCUGGGUGCUCUACAGUGCUUGUUUCAGCCUCCUUUAUGGCUGUUGGAACAAAUUGCCCUUGUCUGCCCAUUAUGCUUGGGUUAGAUAUUUUUUACAUGCUUGGAGUAGACAUUCCCCUGGAUAACCAACAGGUUUAAAACCUGCUGGCCACCAUCAAUAUGAGUCAGCCUGUUUGCCAAGACAACAAGACUUGGCUAUCAUCUCUGGGCAUGCUACAACUUCUUGAAGCCACAGGCAAGAGUUCAAGAGUUAGGUGACAAAUGGACACCAAAGAUUGGAUCUCCUUACCUCAUUCAGGCUGCAAAGUCCAUUCCUGGACUUUCCUCCACAGCUGAUCUCCAGAUCUGCUUUGUUUCAAAACUAGCUCCCUGCCAAAUAUUCAAGAUCUUCCAAGCUAACACUUAA